ACAUGACUGGUUCACGACUUCUGAGACUUGCGUUUAUGAUUCGAAGAGUGAAAACGGAUACCAGUCAACUACAUACACACGCGUUUGUUUAUUCCUUUGUGUGUUGGAAAUUAUUGAUGGUCCUUCUGUCACUGUCCGUAAUUUAGCGAUUUGCCAAGCAAGCAGCAGAUGGAGUAGAGCAGACCUCUUUUCUCGACUGCAGUGGCUUGGCAUUGGAUGCCCUAAUAAGAAGAUUGACUUGACUUUUUAAUGCGAUUCCGUGUAUCACACAACUUACAAGACAAUAUGUUUCAUUAUAUAUCUAUGAUCAUAUUUAGGAUACAUGUUAAUGACCAUUGUAAGAUUGUGUGUAACAUACAAGACUUGGGCCACUUGCAUCAAGGUCAAGUUCAGAUAUAGAAUUCAGCUGCAUACAGUCUACCACAUAGCUAAUAAACCCUAUGAAAGGAGCUGUCGGUAUUUCCAUGGUGCAGCUAUCACCAGUUUCAAAAUGGAAACAGAUGGUGAGUCUCAAGCGAAAAAGAAAAGUGGACCUCUCCUAACAACUUAAAAGGAGAACAUUAUCUUGCAUAGCAUUUUUCUCCGAAGGGAUUGAUUCAAACAAGCACAUUGUGACAAGUAUCCCACCGAAGGCAAGUUCUACAACAAGGAGACGGACUCCACCAAUAUAUCGACGUUCAAAAAGGGCUUAAAUUUGUUUACCGAUCAAAACUAUGCCAUAAGACAUGAAUCACCCUCCAAUUAAAACAAAACAUAUGGAGAAGUCAGUCACUUUCAAAUCAAGUAACAAUUUAAGAUAUGAGACGAUUCUAAUGACGACAAUGAAUAUGGAGAAGUAUAAUGUACUUGAAAAUGUUUAAUGGAAAAAGAGGAAUGUGAAACUUUUUUGUAUUUAUUUGGUUCUCAUGAAGGCUUUGUCAUUGAUAAGGCAGAUAAGUUGAUUUAUUUCUUUGUUUUCAACAAAGAGAAAAGUUGAAAAGAAAAGCAUUUUAGGAGUACUAGAAGAUGUUAUAGAAAUAUUUGAGAUAGAAUGUAAAAACUGGCCCUUCUUAGGGUCUGCUAAUUUAGGGCUAAAAUAAAAUAAAAACAUAUAAUUGACUUCUUUUCGUGAAUCGAUUGAUGGAUUUUUUUCUGUAGCAUUAUUAUAAGGUCCUCGCAUUAAACACGGUUGGGGUUAUAGGAAUGGUCUCCUUCUGACAUAUAUGAGCCAUAUAACUCAAACCUAGACUGAAAGAUUUUUAGCUAACCUUAGCACAAAGUGCUCAAAGGUGAGCUUUUGUGAUCGCCCUGUGUCUGUCGUCGUCAACAAUUUGACUGUUAACACUCUAGAAGUCACAAUUUUGGUCUAAU
rnacentral:lncRNA from 1 species